rnacentral:rRNA from 2 species
UAGUGGCGAACGGGUGAGUAACACGUGGGCAAUCUGCCCUUCACUCUGGGACAAGCCCUGGAAACGGGGUCUAAUACCGGAUACGACUGCGGGAGGCAUCUCCUGCGGUGGAAAGCUCCGGCGGUGAAGGAUGAGCCCGCGGCCUAUCAGCUUGUUGGUGGGGUAAUGGCCUACCAAGGCGACGACGGGUAGCCGGCCUGAGAGGGCGACCGGCCACACUGGGACUGAGACACGGCCCAGACUCCUACGGGAGGCAGCAGUGGGGAAUAUUGCACAAUGGGCGAAAGCCUGAUGCAGCGACGCCGCGUGAGGGAUGACGGCCUUCGGGUUGUAAACCUCUUUCAGCAGGGAAGAAGCGAAAGUGACGGUACCUGCAGAAGAAGCGCCGGCUAACUACGUGCCAGCAGCCGCGGUAAUACGUAGGGCGCAAGCGUUGUCCGGAAUUAUUGGGCGUAAAGAGCUCGUAGGCGGCUUGUCACGUCGGGUGUGAAAGCCCGGGGCUUAACCCCGGGUCUGCAUCCGAUACGGGCAGGCUAGAGUGUGGUAGGGGAGAUCGGAAUUCCU